AGCCCCCGAUAAAAAGGGCCCCCAUCUCCCCUCCAUUCCACACCCACGCCCAUCCAAUUCUCCUCUCCUCGACCUCCCGAUCUCUCCCAGACCACCCACCUCCCGGCCGCCGCCGAGGACGCCCGGACCUCCCGGCCGGCAGCAAACCAACCAGCCACCUCGUGCGUGUUUGAAAAAUCAUGGCGCAGCGGGAUCACAAGCAGGAGGAGCCCACGGAGCUGCGGGCGC
rnacentral:lncRNA from 1 species